rnacentral:rRNA from 1 species
GUGAGGAAUAUUGCGCAAUGGAGGCAACUCUGACGCAGCCAUGCCGCGUGCAGGAAGAAGGCGCUACGCAUUGUAAACUGCUUUUAACCGGGAAGAAACCCCAGGACGUGUCCUGGGUUGACGGUACCGGAGGAAUAAGCACCGGCUAACUUCGUGCCAGCAGCCGCGGUAAUACGAAGGGUGCAAGCGUUAUCCGGAUUCAUUGGGUUUAAAGGGUGCGUAGGCGGAGCGUUAAGUCAGUGGUGAAAUCCUGCAGCUUAACUGUAGACUUGCCAUUGAUACUGGCGCUCUUGAGUGCGCUUGAAGUGGGCGGAAUGUGCCGUGUAGCGGUGAAAUGCUUAGAUAUGGCACAGAACACCAAUUGCGAAGGCAGCUCACUAAGGCGAUACUGACGCUGAGGCACGAAAGCGUGGGGAUCGAACAGGAUUAGAAACCCUGGUAGUCC